CUGAGCCGUGCUCCUGCGUACGCAGGAGCCUAGGGCCACGAACGUCGUGCCUGUGACUCUGGGCUCCUGCGUGCGCAGGAGCGCGCUCAUC
rnacentral:miRNA from 1 species